GAAAUGCGAUAAGUAAUGUGAAUUGCAGAAUUCAGUGAAUCAUCGAAUCUUUGAACGCACCUUGCGCCCCUUGGUUAUUCCUUGGAGCAUGCCUGUUUGAGUAUCAUGAACACCUCAACUCUCAUGGUCUUCCAUGAUGAGCUUGGACUUUGGGGGUUUGCUGGCCCUGCGGCCGGCUCCUCUCAAAUGAAUCAGCUUGCCAGUGUUUGGUGGCAUCACGGGUGUGAUAACUAUCUACGCUCGCGGUCGUCUGCCAGGUAACCCUCAGCGAUGAGGGUUCAUUGGAGCUCAUAAACGUCUCUCCUCGGCGAGGACAACUUUUGAACGUUCGAUCUCAAAUCAGGUAGGAUUACCCGCUGAACUUAA
rnacentral:misc_RNA from 1 species